GACGAACGCUGGCGGCGUGCCUAAUACAUGCAAGUAGGGCGCAGUUGCGAACGGGAGAGUAACGCGUCGGUAACUACAUAUGAGAGGGGGCUAACUAUUGUAAACGAUAGCUAAUACCGCAUACUAAUAGGAGGACCUGCGUUGUAUGAGCUAGUAGGUAGGGGAAUGGCCUACCUAGGCAACGAUACAUAGCCGACCUGAGAGGGGAUCGGCCAAACUGGGACUGAGACACGGCCCAGACGCCUUAGGGAGGCAGCAGUAGGGAAUCUUCGGCAAUGGGGGGAACCCUGACCGAGCAACGCCGCGGGAUUGAAGAAGGUUUUCGGAUCGUAAAGCUCUGUUGUUAAGGAAGCGGUACUUGACCAGAAAGGGACGGCUAACUACGUGCCAGCAGCCGCGGUAAUUC
rnacentral:rRNA from 1 species